GGGCCUGUAGCUCAGUAGGUAGAGCACUGCGGUGAAGCCGCAGGUGUCGUUGGUUCAAAUCCAUCCAGGCCCG
rnacentral:tRNA from 1 species